CUGCGCUCAUUUCUGCUGGCCAUUUGGUGGCCCUCCUGCACAAACCCCAAAGACCCUUCAGAGGCCUCAACAUACACGCUAGUAAGAGUAAGGCAAUGUUAGACAAGACUUUCACCAACAGCACAGUGAGCGUUCAACUGCCGGGAGAGUUGGAUGUUGGAUGGAACAACACGAUUGUGUUCUGCAUGAUUACUUCACCUGAAACCAAUUGGACCACAUGGGGAGCCUCAGAUCUGUAUGAGGGCAGACUGGUUGGACUGAGUGUGCGCGGCAAGAACAUUUCAGGACUACAGGAGCGCGUCAACAUCACCAUGACUCUUACUAUGGGCAUAAAUG